UCCGUAGGCGGGCAAUUAAGUCAGAGGUGAAAUCCCACAGCUCAACUGUGGAACUGCCGUUGAUACUGGUUGUCUUGAGUUACAGUGAAGUAGAUAGAAUAUGUAGUGUAGCGGUGAAAUGCAUAGAUAUUACAUAGAAUACCGAUUGCGAAGGCAGUCUACUAACUGUAUACUGACGCUAAUGGACGAAAGCGUGGGGAGCGAACAGGAUUAGAUACCCUGGUAGUCC
rnacentral:rRNA from 1 species